UACGUAGGGGGCAAGCGUUGUCCGGAAUCAUUGGGCGUAAAGCGCGCGUAGGCGGCCCGGUAAGUCCGCUGUAAAAGUCCAGGGCUCAACCCUGGAAAGCCGGUGGAUACUGUCGGGCUAGAGUCCGGAAGAGGCGAGUGGAAUUCCUGGUGUAGCGGUGAAAUGCGUAGAUAUCUGGAGGAAUACCGGUGGCGAAGGCGGCAUCCUGGACCGGCAUUGACGCUGAGGAGCGAAAGCCAGGGGAGCAAACGGG
rnacentral:rRNA from 1 species